rnacentral:rRNA from 1 species
CCUACGGGAGGCAGCAGUGGGGAAUAUUGCGCAAUGGGCGAAAGCCUGACGCAGCGACGCCGCGUGAGGGAUGAAGGUCUUCGGAUCGUAAACCUCUGUCAGCAGGGAAGAACGGUCACUGUGCUAAUCAGCAGUGAAUUGACGGGACCUGCAAAGGAAGCACCGGCUAACUCCGUGCGAGAAGCCGCGGUAAUACGGAGGGUGCGAGCGUUAAUGGGAAUUAAUGGGCGUAAAGCGCUCGUAGGCGGUAUGUCAAGUCAAUGGUGAAAUCCCCGCGCUCAACGUGGGAACUGCCUUUGAAACUGGCAAACUGGAGUGUGUGAGAGGAUAGUGGAAUUCCAGGUGUAGGAGUGAAAUCCGUAGAUAUCUGGAGGAACAUCAGUGGCGAAGGCGACUAUCUGGCACAUAACUGACGCUGAGGAGCGAAAGCGUGGGUAGCAAACAGGAUUAGAUACCCUUGUAGUC